AAGUCGUAACAAGGUUUCCGUAGGUGAACCUGCGGAAGGAUCAUUAGUGAAUAUUAGCGCAUCUACUUGUAGAGCGUGACCUCCACUUUCUAACUCUGUGCAUUUAUUGGCGGAAGGACUUGAGCAAUCGAGUUUCCUUCUGCGGCUCAUUUUAAAACACUAGUUAAAGUAUGUAACGAAAUAUCGAAACAAAAAAAG
rnacentral:misc_RNA from 1 species